rnacentral:rRNA from 1 species
GUAAUGUAUCGGAACGAACCUUUCAGUGGGGGAUAACGUAGCGAAAGUUACGCUAAUACCGCAUAUUCUGUGAGCAGGAAAGCAGGGGAUCGCAAGACCUUGCGCUGAUUGAGCGGCCGAUAUCAGAUUAGCUAGUUGGUGAGGUAAAGGCUCACCAAGGCGACGAUCUGUAGCGGGUCUGAGAGGAUGAUCCGCCACACUGGAACUGAGACUUUGUCCAGACUCCUACGGGAGGCAGCACUGGG